rnacentral:rRNA from 1 species
GAGUUUGAUCUUGGCUCAGAUUGAACGCUGGCGGCAUGCCUUACACAUGCAAGUCGAACGGCAGCACGGGAGCUUGCUCCUGGUGGCGAGUGGCGAACGGGUGAGUAAUGCAUCGGAACGUAUCCUGGAGUGGGGGAUAACGUAGCGAAAGUUACGCUAAUACCGCAUAUUCUGUGAGCAGGAAAGCGGGGGACCUUCGGGCCUCGCGCUCUUGGAGCGGCCGAUGUCGGAUUAGCUAGUUGGUGAGGUAAAGCCUCACCAAGGCGACGAUCCGUAGCAGGUCUGAGAGGAUGAUCUGCCACACUGGAACUGAGACACGGUCCAGACUCCUACGGGAGGCAGCAGUGGGGAAUUUUGGACAAUGGGGGCAACCCUGAUCCAGCCAUGCCGCGUGAGUGAAGAAGGCCUCGG